rnacentral:rRNA from 1 species
UACGUAGGGUGCAAGCGUUAAUCGGAAUUACUGGGCGUAAAGCGUGCGCAGGCGGUUUUGUAAGUCUGUCGUGAAAUCCCCGGGCUCAACCUGGGAAUUGCGAUGGAGACUGCAAGGCUAGAAUCUGGCAGAGGGGGGGUAGAAUUCCACGUGUAGCAGUGAAAUGCGUAGAUAUGUGGAGGAACACCGAUGGCGAAGGCAGCCCCCUGGGUCAAAACUGACGCUCAUGCACGAAAGCGUGGGGAGCAAACAGG